CAUGGACUCAUGUUCACGCAUGACAGUACCACCGCGGCUGAACCAGGCAAGGGCGAUUCGCCGAAUCUCUAACCCCCUCUAUCAAAUCUGUGGCCACAGGGAGACACCUCUCGACCACCUCUUAUGAUUCCCACACCAAGCACUCUGUUUCCCAUUCGAGAUCGAGCACACGGACCUCGCAAAACUCCAUCGACCGAGCUUCCUUCCAUGGCCAACUCCGGCAACUGAUUCGAGCUCCCCAGCAAAAUCGAUCUCGCUGGAGCAUACCAUCGCCGCCGCCUGUUCAUCCGCUCACCGUCAUCGCUAGAGGACGCAUCGGAACUCCCUGAGUACACCAAAGGACUCCCCAUGAACCUCCUCGUCUUCCAGCAUCUUCAUCGAUCUCUUAUGGGCACCAGAAACGACGUUGUUGCCGAUCAGAGCCGCGCCCUCACCGUCUCCUCUGUUGCGGUGAGAAAUCCUCAAGCAAAAAGAAUGUAGCCACGUGGCCUGAUCCAUGCCAUCCACUGCCACUUAAAUCAUGAGGUCCAUAUUUAAUCCAGUCAGAAACCGAUAAGCCCCUACAACUUCAGGCCAUCAUAUCUCUUCAACCGUAGCUCCAAUUGAG